rnacentral:rRNA from 1 species
UACGAAGGAUCCUAGCGUUGUCCGGAUUUACUGGGUUUAAAGGAUGCGUAGGUGGACUAUUAAGUCAGUGGUGAAAGCUUGCAGCUUAACUGUAAAAUUGCCAUUGAAACUGAUAGUCUCGAGUACGGUUGAGGUCACUGGAAUGUAUCAUGUAGCGGUGAAAUGCUUAGAUAUGAUACAGAACACCAAUUGCGAAGGCAGGUGACUAAACCGUAACUGACACUGAGGCACGAAAGCGUGGGGAUCAAACAGG